rnacentral:rRNA from 1 species
GACGAACGCUGGCGGCGUGCCUAAUACAUGCAAGUGGGACGCAAGGGAACACACUGUGCUUGCACACCGUGUUUUCUUGAGUCGCGAACGGGUGAGUAACGCGUAGGUAACCUGCCUAUUAGCGGGGGAUAACUAUUGGAAACGAUAGCUAAUACCGCAUAAUAUUAAUUAUUGCAUGAUAAUUGAUUGAAAGAUGCAAGCGCAUCACUAGUAGAUGGACCUGCGUUGUAUUAGCUAGUUGGUAAGGUAAGAGCUUACCAAGGCGACGAUACAUAGCCGACCUGAGAGGGUGAUCGGCCACACUGGGACUGAGACACGGCCCAGACUCCUACGGGAGGCAGCAGUAGGGAAUCUUCGGCAAUGGACGAAAGUCUGACUGAGCAACGCCGCGUGAGUGAAGAAGGUUUUCGGAUCGUAAAGCUCUGUUGUAAGUCAAGAACGUGUGUGAGAGUGGAAAGUUCACACAG